rnacentral:lncRNA from 1 species
UAGGACUCCUCAGUCUUCAUUGCGGCGGCAAACUCAGGGCACUCACCUCUCCAUGAGUUGAGGUCAUGCUAUGCUUCUACUGCUCGUCGAGUUCGUGCCGAUCCAUGCUGUCGGACCGUUUCAUGCUCUGCACAUACUCGGCAUAGUCUCCAAGGUUUCAACUGCUGGUUGUUGGACUCUGGGAUCCAGUCGGAGAACAAAUGACCGUAGAUGCCACCAUAAAGGACACCAAAGAUAGAGAGGCGGUGCAGAGGGCGGUGUUGGCAUUGUGGCGGCUUUGUGGUCGAUCUGACUACCGCCACCCACAUCGAAGAGGACGUUGAACACGUCUGGUUAGCUCGUGGUCUAUCCGAUCGCUGCCACCCAUGCUGGAGAGGGCGUUGAACAUGCCCAGGCAGUAGGAUUUUUUUUUUGGUGGUCUUCUCAAGCCCCAAGAGGAUAGGCUUUGGAGAUAGGAAAGCCCCUCCUUUUUCUUUUCUUCUCUUUUUUUUUUGAUCUCUGAGGUGGUGCUUUUAGAGUACUCCAAUCGAUCUUUUUUUUUUGUUUGAGGAUUGAGAUCGGUAGAGUAGGACCCCACUCCGAACUGAUCAAUCACACUUAUAUCGGCCUUGGCCAUGAGCAUCACCAUAAAUUUCAAUAAUGGAG